ACUAGCGGGAAGGUGUGUUUUUAUUAGCUCUCUUUGAAAUCACCCACUUUUGCCAAAAAUUGAAACAGAGAGCUCCAUUCCUGCCUAAAUCAUCUCUCCCGCUACUGCUUUGAACUUCGAAUCAAUGGCGCGAGCGAGGCAUCCACCCCAAAGGAAGUCCAAUCGCAUGCCAUCAGGUACCGGAGCUGCACAGUCUUCCCCAGCUGCGCCUUCGACGCCACUUAGCGGAAGAACACAAAAUGUGGAGCAAGCUCAAAGCUCACCAUUGAGGACAACAAAGAAAAAAAAACGCUUCAGACCAGGAACGGUGGCAUUGAGGGAAAUUCGGAGUCUCCAGAAAUCAUGGAAUCUACUAAUUCCAGCUAGCUGUUUCAUCCGAGCAGUGAAAGAAGUAAGCUACCAGUUGGCUCCACAGAUUACGCGUUGGCAAGCUGAAGCUUUAGUAGCUCUUCAGGAAGCGGCAGAAGAUUUUUUGGUUCAUCUAUUUGAAGAUACCAUGCUGUGUGCUAUUCAUGCCAAGCGUGUAACUAUCAAACUGAAGAACGCUCCUGGAUUCAAUAAUCAGUACUUUCGACUGAUAAAAUAGUUGGACAAUGGACAAAAUAAUACUCUCAAACAUAAUUAUGAACCGUGCUAGUGAAAAAGGAUUUUGAGCUGGCACGUCGAUUAGGAGGGAAAGGGAGGCCAUGGUGAGAAGAGAUGUUCAUUAGAAAGAGGAGCAACUUUAGCAACCAAACAUCACCUCAUUAAUCGGUAUAAUAGAAUUCCAGUUGUUGAUCGGCAGUAAGCUGUAUAUUUGAAUGUGUAGAAAUUAGGCAGUAGAAAAGACCAAAAUUGUUUGUUGCCUAGCACCAUUUAUGCCACAGCCUCCAAAAUUCCAAUCCUACAUACAGUUCGAAUGCGACUUGAAAUACGAAGUUUAUAUUACCUAUCUUGAAGGAGAUUGUAGGGUCCAUUCAACUUUGAUGUGGCCUUGAUUCUGACCCUUGAGUUGCUUCCUGUAAUCUGUUACUUUGUUUCAUCAUGUUAUCAGAAUACAACAUUUUGCUGGCAGCUCUGCAAAAACAAAAGACACCAUUGUUUGGUCAGCUCAAUCUCUUUACUAUUGUGUGUGCUUUAAGGGGCAGUGUUCCUUUUGUCUGAAUUGUUUUUCCUCUCUGUAUAUUGUCUUUAAGAAGGGGUGGGUUAGAACAUCCUUUGUCCUUUUUUUUUUUUUUUUUUAAAACUAUUGUAACAUUUGGUGUUUGUAUUUCUCUCCGUGAUGAUUUGUUUUUGUACUAUUGAAAAUUUUACCAUUUAGUUUCAU